GGAACGUUGCGCGAGUGGUUUAAGCGGGCACCCUGCUAAGGUGCUAACUGGCAACGGUUCGGGGGUUCGAAUCCCUCACGUUCCG
rnacentral:tRNA from 1 species